UAAACAUGUGUUUAUAUAUAUACUUUUUCGUACUAAUAUAGUUCUUCAAAGCUAUAGCAUUUGAGGUGUCUCUGAAAACAGAUAUAGACGACAAACAUAAAAAGAAAAAUGAAGAUUUUGUUUAUUUGCUUCGUAUUUGGCCCAGGGAUUGUAUGUGUAUUGAGUAGAAAAUGUUUUGUUUAUACGGAGGGUGAAACUAAACCAGCCAUACCAAAGGGUGCCCGGUUUGGUAGAACAUGUCAUUACGCGACUAACAGCAACAAAAGGUACUGCAUGGAAUGGGAUUGUCCCCCAGCUAACUGUUCUGAUCCCAUUAUACCAGUUACUGGUUGCCCUUACUGUAAAGGUACAUGCAUACGUGACGGUAGAGUGUACAAGGAAGGUACAUCUUUCAAGUGUGAUUGUAAUACAUGUUCGUGUAGAAUGUCGACGAGGGUGAGGUGUUUUUAUACACUACCAAAAGAGUGCCUGUGAUACAUUCACCAGCAACAUAAUACCCGGAGUUUAAUCAUAAUAAAAUAAA